AUGUUGCGGCGGCCGCAAGCUGUCCUGUGUCGCGUCUCGCUGGCGAACCUGUCUCCAGCGGCAUGGACUGGUGGUGGGGCGAGCUACCAUGGCUCCUCGUCAGAGGGGGGGAAGGGAAAGGCGGCGCCUUUGCAGGCACGUGGGAUGGUGGAUAGGUUCCGGCUACUUGCCAGGGGUGGCGACGGUGGCAAUGGCUGCAUCAGCCAAAGGCGCUCCAGGUCCGAUCGCCAAGGCAGGCCCGAUGGUGGCGAUGGAGGGACAGGUGGUAAUGUCAUUCUUGAGUGCUCAAGAUCUGUCUGGGAUUUCAGUAACUUGCAACAUCACACGAAAGCAGUCCGAGGAGGCAAUGGACUUUCUAAGAAACAGAUAGGGACAAGAGGUCCUGACAAGAACAAGGAUGGCAUUAAUGGAAAUGAAGCUGAAAGAGAAAGUAGCAAUCAGCGGGAGAAGCAAACAUACCCUAGUACAUGCUCCAAGACUGGGUUUUCGAAUGCUGAAGAUGGUGAUGCAAGUAGCAUUCAACAUCAGGUCGAGUUUGAUGAAAAUGAUCAGUUUGAUGACGACGAUGAAGAAUUUUGGGAGGAUGAAGAUGAGACGGAGGAAGAGGCUCUAGAUGCAGAUGGGGAGAGGGAAGAAGAUGACAUACAGUAUUCUGUUGCUGAAAUGACAAGACCUGGGCAACGGUUGAUCGUAGCACAGCAGGAACAGUCUUUUCUUGUCUUAGAACUGAAGAGCAUUGCUGAUGUUGGCCUUGUUGGUUUGCCGAAUGCCGGAAAGAGCACACUUCUGAGUGCUCUCUCUAGGGCUCGGCCGGAGAUCGCUGACUAUGCAUUCACCACACUAAGGCCCAAUAUUGGUAGCCUGACCUACGACGACUACUUGUCAGUAAAAGUUGCUGACAUACCUGGUCUUAUCAAAGGUGCCCAUGAGAACCGUGGCCUGGGCCAUGCCUUCUUGAGGCACAUUGAGCGCACCAAAGUUCUGUCCUAUGUACUUGACCUGGCAGCAACACUCAACGGUAGGAAGGGUAUCCCACCAUGGGAGCAGCUAUGCGAUCUGGUCGUGGAGCUAGAGCAUUACCAAGAAGGCAUGACAAAGCGCCCAUCGUUGAUUGUCGCAAACAAAAUAGAUGAAGAGGGAGCUGAAGCAAUGUAUGAAGAACUGAAGAGGAGAGUGCAAGGUGUUCCUAUAUUUCCAGUGUGUGCCAUCUUGCAAGAGGGAGUACCUGAUCUGAGAGUUGGCCCGAGAGACCUUAUUGAUGCCUCGGAUCCGCAAGGUGUUGAUUUGAGCAAAAUUAUUGUAGACUAA
rnacentral:rRNA from 1 species